UGGCACACUGCUCAGUAACACGUAGCUAACCUACCCUCGGGACGGAGAUAACCCCGGGAAACUGGGGCUAAUACCCGAUAGAUGUGGAUUCCUGGAAUGGUGCCACGUCGAAAAGUUAGUGCUCCCAUGUUGAGCGCACACGCACGAGGAUGGGGCUGCGGCCGAUCAGGCUGUUGGCGAGGUAAAGGCUCACCAAACCUUUGACCGGUACGGGCCGUGAGAGCGGUAGCCCGGAGAUGGGCACUGAGACAAGGGCCCAGGCCCUACGGGGCGCAGCAGGUACGAAACCUCCACAAUGCACGCAAGUGCGAUGGGGUUACCUCGAGUGCCGUCUGAAGAAGGCGGCUUUUCCACUGUGUAAUGAGCCGUGGGAAUAAGGGGGGGGCAAGACUGGUGUCAGCCGCCGCGGUAACACCAGCCCCCCGAGUUGUGGGGAUGCUUAUUUGGUCUAAAGCGUCCGUAGCCGGCCCGGUAAAUCUCUCGUUAAAUCCAGCGUCCUAAGCGUUGGGCUGCGAGGGAGACUGCCAGGCUAGAGGGUGGGAGAGGUCANCGGUAUUUCUGGGGNAGGGG
rnacentral:rRNA from 1 species